UAGUUCCUACGGGGGGCAGCAGUGGGGAAUAUUGCACAAUGGGGGAAACCCUGAUGCAGCGACGCCGCGUGAGUGAAGAAGUAUUUCGGUAUGUAAAGCUCUAUCAGCAGGGAAGAUAAUGACGGUACCUGACUAAGAAGCCCCGGCUAACUACGUGCCAGCAGCCGCGGGAAUACGUAGGGGGCAAGCGUUAUCCGGAUUUACUGGGUGUAAAGGGAGCGUAGGUGGCAGGGCAAGUCAGAUGUGAAAACCCGGGGCUCAACUCCGGGAGUGCAUUUGAAACUUUCCAGAUAGCGUGCAGGAGG
rnacentral:rRNA from 1 species